rfam:Perkinsus marinus ATCC 50983 gcontig_1104296777078, whole genome shotgun sequence.
GCCGGGAUGAUCUAGUGGUUAUGACGUCUGCCUUACACGCAGAAGAUCGCGAGUUCAAUCCUCGCUCCUGGUA